rnacentral:rRNA from 1 species
AUAUUACACAAGGGGAGUGAGCCUGAUGCAGCGACGCCGCGUUGAGGAUGAAGGCGUUCGGGUCGUAAUCUCAUGUCUGGGGGGAUGAAUACUGAGAGUACCCGCGGAGUAAGCCUCGGCUAACUACUUGCCAGCAGCCGCGGUAGUAGGUAGGGGGCGAGCGUUGUCCGGAAUUACUGGGCGUAAAGCGCGCGCAGGUGGCUUGUUAAGUCAGGUGUCAAAAUGCGGGGCUCAACCCCGUACCGCACUUGAAACUGGCAGGCUUGAGUGCAGGGGAGGGAAGUGGAAUUCCUAGUGUAGCGGUGAAAUGCGUAGAUAUUAGGAGGAACACCAGUGGCGAAGGCGACUUCCUGGACUGUAACUGACACUGAGGCGCGAAAGCUAGGGGAGCAAAC